rnacentral:tRNA from 1 species
UCCCUAGUGGCUCAGAUGGUAAAGCAUCUGCCUACAAUGCAGGAGACCCAGGUUCAAUCCCUGGGUUGGGAA